rnacentral:tRNA from 1 species
AGGGGAGUAGCUCAAUUGGCAGAGCGUCGGUCUCCAAAACCGAAGGUCGCGGGUUCGAUUCCCUCCUCCCCUG